CAGGAGCCGCCUAACGUAUUCACCGCUACCAAGCUGGAUCUCUGAUGACUCUGCCUUUGAACUUCCGGAGGAAGGUGGGGAUAACGUCAUGCCCUCAAGGACCUUAUGGGUGGGCUACACUCCUCAUACAAUGGUCGGUACCCAGGGCUGCCAACCCUGGAGGGGGAGCCAAUCCCAGAAAACCGGUCGUAUUCCGGAUCGCAGUCUGCAACUCGACUGCGUGAAGUCGGAAUCGCUAGUAAUCGCGGAUCAGCUUGCCGCGGUGAAUACUUUCCCGGGUCUUGUACACUCCGCC
rnacentral:rRNA from 1 species